ACGAGGUUCCUGCAUCAUCACUCAGCCGGUCCAACAGAGCUGCUGCCGCUGUGACUGAUGAGACGAAUCUGCAUGAACAACUUUAUGCACAACAGGAACGCUCACACUGGCAUUUGCACACAUAAAGCGGCUUUAAAAGGAGGCCACAUUCAUGAGUGUUUGCAGGAGAAAUUCGUUUUCACAACAAGGUGGAAAUGUGUUUGAUAUACAAAGUGGUUGCGUGAAGGCUGCAGCAUGUGAUUGGAACCAGAAACCGGGUGAACAUAGAAUCGAAACAGCUAGAGUGGAGACACAGCGCUACCAGGGUGCACAAACAACUUACGCAUUGGUAUCGUCAAUGAAUGAGUGCUGAUUCAGAGGCUUGUAUCUGGCAACUUGUUAAACUGAAAAUACAAGUUUGUGAUCAAAAACUACAUAAAAAUAGUAAAAUAACAUUUUCAUACACAUUUCUUUCUUCCUUACACUUCUUAAAAAAAUGCAAGAUGAUUAAGUGCAGGAACUCUUUUUAAGAGAAAGAAAACGACGAAAUCCUGGAAUCAACCAGACAGUGUUUAAUGAACAUUUGAAAGAAAUGACAUGAUGACAUGAAACCGAUGGCAUCAUGGCUCAAUCGGGCGUCUUUUUUAUUAGUAGCUUCAUGAGAAAAGAAACAAAUUGAGCAGAAGGAAAGGUGUAAACAACAUAAUAUAUCCACACAGCUGCCGAAUGGCUCCGGCAUCACAUUUCGUCAUCGACGUUCUAGAGAAUAAUACAUGUUGGAAUGUCCACGUUUCCAUCAAUCACUGGAUUAUUUAUUCAGCUCUUUUCUCCAUCUAUAAUUGGGUGGAGAGCAUUCCCUUGUCGGGUCGAGGUCUGUGGCCUUCGAACCUGGUCUGACGGUGAAGGAGUUUUCCUGCAGACUUCUCCUGGACAGAUAUUACAUUUUAAUAGGAUGGUUAUCUUUCCAUCUGCCUUUUAAAUGUUAUUUUUGUUAAAGUGACAGAUGCACAAAACCCCAAAAAUGAAUCGAAUUGAUAUUAAUCUCACUGCAGCGACUGGACCAGAUGUGACUUCGGGCUCCUCCGGUCUGCACUGGUCUGCACUGACUCAAGUGAGUCCUGGUCUGGAGGACUGUAAUGCUUUGUGCCCCCACAGAGCCACGGUCCCCCAUCAUAGAGGAAAUGACUUCACGAGACUCAGAGGCCUCUGCAGUGCCUGGGGGAGGGCCGGUCAGGAGCCACAGUUGGGCAGCAGGUCCCACUGCAGCUGGGCACCCGAGUGGCUCUGAGUCAAUAAAAGAAGUUCUGGGAAGUGUUGCUACAGAUGCAUCAGCUUCAAAAACACCCCGGGUCCCUUUUAUUAGACCCUCAGUGGCCCCAGGAAGUGAUUUCAAACUCCUGUCUGUUCUGAUGUCAGAGCCACAAAAUAAAUUAUGAAUGUGAGAGUGUGAGUGUGACAGAAGUGCUGCAGCCACUGAAUGACAUGCAAUGUUUAAUUGAGACUGAUCAACUUUUCAGUAAACCUCGUAAAC
ensembl:lncRNA